GACGAACCGUCCAAACGUUAUUCGGAAUCACUGGGCUUACAGAGUUCGUAGGCGGUCUGGAAAGUUGGGUGUGAAAUCCCUCGGCUCAACCGAGGAACUGCGCUUGAAACUACCAGACUCGAGGGAGAUAGAGGAAAGCGGAACUGAUGGUGGAGCGGUGAAAUGCGUUGAUAUCAUCAGGAACACCGGUGGCGAAGGCGGCUUUCUGGGUCUUACCUGACGCUGAGGAACGAAAGCGUGGGGAGCGAACCGG
rnacentral:rRNA from 1 species